CCGCCCCUGCGUGCAUGGGGUUUCCACAGGAAGCUCUAAAAGAGGCAGACCCGCAUCGGCUGCGCCCAGACGCAUCUCCUGCUGUUUGUCCUCUGUCCGUCUGUCCGGAGCGCCACCAUGCGCUCCUUCAACGCCACGCAGCGGAACCUCAGCGGGACCGCCAACCACUCCGACCCGUUCGGGCGCAACGAGGAGGUGGCCAAGCUGGAGAUCACGGUGCUGAGCCUGGCGUUCGUGGCGGCGGUGGCGGGGAACCUGAGCGUCCUGCUGGCCAUGCUGCGCAGCCGCAGAAAGCUGUCGCGCAUGCACCUGUUCAUGAAGCACCUGAGCCUGGCCGACCUGGUGGUCGCCUUCUUCCAGGUGCUGCCGCAGCUCUGCUGGGAGGUCACCUUCCGCUUCUACGGGCCGGACUUCCUGUGCCGCAUCGUGAAGCACCUGCAGGUUCUGGGCAUGUUCGCCUCCACCUACAUGAUGGUGAUGAUGACCGUGGACCGCUACGUGGCGAUCUGCCACCCGCUGCGCAGCCUGCGGCAGCCCACGCGGCGCGCCUACAUUAUGAUCAGCUGCAGCUGGGCGUGCAGCCUGCUGCUCAGCUCCCCGCAGUACUUCAUCUUCUCCCUCAGCGAGGUUCGCCCCGGUUCGGCCGUCUACGACUGCUGGGGUCACUUCGUGGAGCCGUGGGGGCUGCGCGCCUACAUCACCUGGAUCACGGCGGGGAUCUUCCUGGUUCCGGUGGCCGUGCUGGUGUUCUGCUACGGCUUCAUCUGCAGGACGAUCUGGAAGAACCUGAAGGGCAAAACCCGCAGGAAGAGCGCGGACGCUUCGGCGGCGGGCGGCAGGUCCAGGAUCCUGGGCAGGAACUCCGUCAGCAGCGUCUCCACCAUCUCCCGCGCCAAAUUACGCACCGUCAAGAUGACUUUCGUGAUCGUGGUGGCUUACGUGGUGUGCUGGGCUCCGUUCUUCAUCGUUCAGAUGUGGUCCGUGUGGGACGAAACCUUCUCCUGGCACGACUCUGAGAACCCGGCGGUGACGCUGUCCGCCCUGCUGGCCAGCCUCAACAGCUGCUGCAACCCCUGGAUCUACCUGAUCUUCAGCGGCCACCUGCUGUCGGACUUCCUGGGCCUGCUGCCCUGCUGCCGCCGGCUGCGGGACCGGCUGCGGCAGCAGGACUCGGACAGCAGCAUCCGGCGCACCACGCUGCUGUCCCGCCUGCAGGCGCCGCGCCCGUCCGACCUCAACUUCACCUUCAAAAACUGUCCGCCGGCCACACCGGCGUCCUGACUGCAGACACGCCCGACCGGCUGACAUCAACCAGGGAGCUAAAGGAGAGCUUGGUUCGGUCCAAACGGGGAGCGUUCACUUCUCGUUGUGGGUUAAGCAGCUUUUCACGAUGGCUUCGUUAAAGGGGCAGUAUCAUAUAAAAUCAACUUUUUUUUAACUUUCCAUCAUGUUUUAAUGUUUUUCCCUCAUCUAAAGCAACCCUGGAGUGUUGCUUUGAUUCUUUCAGUAUGUCUGAGAAAUCAUUUAAUCACCAUGGCAACCAUUCAGCUGUUAAAACACCCGUUUGGACCUAGCUCCGCCUUCAAAACGCAGCUCCUCCCCCACUCAGCUCCUUCAAACUAGCCAGCAGCAGUUAGCAAACAGCUGGUGGAACUGCUGAGCUCAUCAUUAUUCUCAGAGCAACGCCGGUAAAAACGCUGGGAAAGGGUUAAUAGAGGAGCCAUGUUGACUUCCUGAAGGCGGAGCUUCUUAAAGAGACAGAGGCCCAAUUUUAGAUUACAAAGUAAAACGUCUUCUAAAUCAUGUUUGAUAUUUACAGCGUUUUUAUAACAGUUGACUGUAACAUAGUUACUUAAUUAUGCUAUAAAAAACGCAUCAUACUGUCCCUUUAACGUAUUUCAGAUAUAAAAUGGAUGAUUUACCAAUACAAGCUGGUGCCAAGCAGUUAUUAAAUAAAAGUCACUUGGAAACCAUAAUUGUUUCGGCUUUAAGGACAACUAGGAUAGAAAAAAACUCAAAUGUGGCCAAAAGUUUGUUUAUUCACUUUUUUUUUUGGGUUGUAAAUUCUUGGACUUUUUCUAACCGUAAAUAAACAGCCAAUAAAUUUGGAUUAAUGAAAAAAUAUUGAGAAUAAUCUGGAUUACCAUCUGCUGCAAUCCUAAAACUCCAAACAAUUUAAAUAUUAGACUUGAGGAUCUAAAAUGUGUUAUGAGCCAAAAAACAGCUAAAAAAGAUCAAAACUGAACAACAUAAUUAUGUUUCCAGUUUCCGCAAAUGUAUUUUACUUUGUAGGCGUGAGGAGCAUUUUCAGAGCAUUUUCUUUCUGUUUGUAUUUUCUAAACAAUAAUCCAGCAAGCUGUUCUGUGUUUGUAAUACUCGGUAAGUUUCCUUCAGUAGAAACACAAUGAUUAUUGUUCAGGCCUGAAACGGGACGUUAAUUUCCUGACAGCUGGUAUCUAAUGGCCCUUUCCAUUUAAACUUCAUGGGAAGUUUAAAUCUUCAUUGUAAAUUCAGGAACCAGGUCUGGAAUGUCAGCUUUGCAAAUUCAUUAGAUUCUCAGUAUGUUUACAUUUCUUACAUAAAUACUGAGAAUAUACAGUUUUUUAUUCACCUUAAAGCUAAUUGGAUGAUUAAUUAACAUUUUCCCAAGAGAAAAAUCACAGAUUCUCCUUCAUAGAAACCAUUAAAACCUUUGAACUUGUUGUUGGGAAAAGGAAAAUGUGGCUGUAGUUUAACUUGAUUUGGAUCAAUGGAAACUGAUUCAAACCCAGAGUUUAUAAAACCUAAAGGCUGUAAUUUAGUUUACAUUCAUGCAAAUUCUCUUUACCAAGUUGAACUCCUUUGCUAGUUGAGGUUUGGGUCAUUUAUUUACCUCAUCCCACUCAUCACCUCACUCAUUAAUUCUCAUCAUUUCUCUUCUCUUUAACCAGUUCAUCAUUAACCCCCACCAACCCACUCAUUCUCCUCAUUUAUCUUACAUAACCCUUUCCAAUGCUUUUUAAAACUCCCAAUCCAAAAAAACUCCCAAUCGUUUCAUUUCAAUUAAUGAAACGAUCUCAUUAAGAUUGUUUCUCAUUCCUAGUCCUGUUCAUCCCACUCAUCCUCCUCAUUCUUCCCCCUCUCUCUCAUCUUUCUUAACUUUGGAAUAACUUUGCACACCAUGAUGUUUAAGCUGAAACUGGUAUUGUUUGUACAUUUUUCUCAUGUAAAUACCUUGUUUACUUAUGAGCUCCUCCAACAGGGGGCGCUGCAGAUGCAUGUUUAAAUUGUUUGCUCCAUGAAUUGACAUAAAAAUAGUUCAAACUGUGGUGGGUUAUAAAUUGAUGUGCACUUUGUUUAAUGCGAUAAGUAAUGUAAAUAGUCGUGGUUUUACGAAGUGAUUUGAAGUUUUGUGACGUUUGAAUUUUUGUGCGUUGCGUUAGGAUGGUACUGGUUCCCUCAGGGUGUUGCAGGUGUUGCAUAUUGUACCAAGCUGUUGUCUGUCUGCAUGUUGUAGUGCACAUGUACUAAAAAAAUGAACGUUUUAUGUAAUUUCAUGUUAGUUUUUUGAGUUUUUUUAUUAUUAUUCUCACUUUAGAUGCUUGAACAGUGAAAUGUCCUGUUGCGCACCAGGAAGUCCAGUGGACGUUGUCGACGUCUUCGUAUCGUUUUGUUCUGUUAAACGAUACGAAGCAAACAAACUGUCACUGUUGCUUCUUUCCAGUCAGCCAUGUUUGUUUGCUUUGAACUAAUGAAUUGUCUUGAGUAGUUUUGCGAGAUUUCCCAUCUGACAUCUGAAUGUUCAUGAGUGGCAUCAGUUCGUAGUGUUGGAGGAAUAUUUUCUUGACACCAUGUCUGUCACAAAGUUCCAGCCAUCGCAGGCUGGUUUCUUCAACGUCAACGGCCUCCAACGAUCUCAACCCAACAGUGCAGCAUCGUUCUACGGGAUGAUCUGGAGCCAUGAGAGUCACAUCAUGAGAUGUCCAGCAACUCAUGAAUCAAAUCUUUGAGGAAUGUUGCAGACAUGGGCUUGGUCUGGAAGCCGAUUCUGGCAUGGUGCUCCUGUAGACUUGGCUGCUAUGAUCUGUUUCCCUUGAGAGUUUGAACACAUCUGGACCAACAAAUCCAGAUCUUCAAGCAGAUGAAAGUGAUCUAUCCAUCAUCCCAUCAUUUAGGAACAAAGACAUCAAGAUACUUGAACUGUUGAGGCAAAGAGGAGGAGACCUUUAUCAGCAGAAAAAUGCAAAUCAACUUACAGACCAGCUGGAAACUGGGAAUAUGUUCUGCAUCAGACAGUCCAGAACCCAGAUGUGAUCAAUUAAAACCAGGAAUGUUGAUUUUAAUCUUACCAAAGUUUCUCUUUAGCCUAAUUUGUCCCAUUAGUCAAGCUUUAUGCACAAAGUUUCCAUUAAGCAUCCGGUAAAUAGCUACUUACUCCAGUUCAAUUAGUUUCCUCCACAAUCAGAUCCCCGUGCUGGCAGUCUUAUGUAACUGGAUUAUGUUGCAUCAUAAAUGAAAAAACAGAAGUUUCCGUUUGGUUGGAUGACAGCCUUUUGGAAAGGUUUUGAGUUUUGUAAGAUUUUUCAGCAGAAAAUUCAAAUUCCUCUAAAUAUUUAGAAUGAAUGUUGCAAAUCUGCCAGAGCGAGGAAAUUGUGUGGGUGUUGGUGCAAUCUGUCCUGCUGCAUAAACACUUUUACAUUUGGCUGCCUGAAUGUUUAACUUCUUAAACGUUGUCCUUUCACAGUGUUUUUUCUUUUUAAACUGGACCUGAUGACGGUGUCAGUCUUUGGCAACAAAGAGAUCUGGAGGUUCGUUUGGGUCCAGUUCGGUGGAAAGAGGUGGCCGCGACGGGCUGCAGGGCGU